UGGGGAAUAUUGGACAAUGGGGGCAACCCUGAUCCAGCCAUGCCGCGUGAGUGAUGAAGGCCUUCGGGUUGUAAAGCUCUUUUGGCGGGGACGAUGAUGACGGUACCCGCAGAAUAAGCCCCGGCUAACUUCGUGCCAGCAGCCGCGGUAAGACGAAGGGGGCUAGCGUUGUUCGGAAUUACUGGGCGUAAAGCGAGUGUAGGCGGUUGCCGUAGUCAGGUGUGAAAGCCUUGAGCUCAACUCAAGAAAUGCACUUGAUACUGGGUGACUAGAGGACCGGAGAGGAUAGUGGAAUUCCCAGUGUAGUGGUGAAAUACGUAGAGAUUGGGAAGAACACCAGUGGCGAAGGCGGCUAUCUGGACGGUUACUGACGCUAAGACUCGAAAGCGUGGGGAGCAAAACAGGAUUAGAUACCCUGGUAGUCCACGCCGUAAACGAUGGGUGCUAGACGUUGGCGAGCUUGCUCGUCAGUGUCGCAGCUAACGCGUUAAGCACCCCGCCUGGGGAGUACGGCCGCAAGGUUGAAAACUUAAAGGAAUUGACGGGGGUCAUAGCUGUUUCCU
rnacentral:rRNA from 1 species